rnacentral:lncRNA from 1 species
GUAUUGAGUGUUUUGUAAACACUUGUUGCAAGAGGGAACAUUGUAUUUCUUCUUGAGAAGUCUUAGGGAUAGGUUUCCUUAAGCAAGGUUAUUUGAGGCUUGUGUGAUUCAAGUUCUCAAGUUGUAACGGUUUGUUAGGCACCCGGAAGCUUAACAGGGAAGUCUUGGGGUGAGGUAUCCUCAAGCAGGUGUUUGAGAUUUGUUGGAUUCAAGUCUCAAGUGUAAAGGUUUGUUGAGCACCCGUAAGCUCGACAGGGUUUAGUGGAAAUCUCGAGAGAGUCUCUCGGGGACUGGACUAGCGUGUAACGGUUUGUUGAGCACCCGUAAGCUCGACAGGGUUUAGUGAAAAUCUCGAGAGAGUCUCUUGGGGACUGGACUAACCACAGGGUUGUGGCGAACCAGGAUACAUCGUUGUGUUCUUUCCUUGCUCUCUUUAAUUUUCGUACUGAUUUAAUUCCUGCAGUAUUUUAUUUACGCAACAGAAUUUUUAAUUCCGCAUAAUUUUUGUAAAACGCUAUUCACCCCCCCUCUAGCGUUGAGCACGUAUCCUAACAAAGUAUUCAUAAUGCCAAAGAAGGUGUUGAAGGUUAUUGAAGCAAUUUGUAGGUCCUUCCUAUGGACAGGCAGUGCAUCUGUGUCUAAAAGGGCUUUGGUUGUAUGGGA